AGCAUUGGGGGAAAGGGGUGGAGCUAAACGGUGGUCAGAAAGGUCCCCCUGAGGUGGCAUGAGAGCAGAAAGCCAAAACAGGGCUGAGCCGUGCAGUGUCUGGGGACAGCUUUCCAGGCAGAGGGGACAGGGUGCAAAGGCCCGAGGCCACCAUCUCGCGGUUCAACUCAAGAAACCUUGAGUCAUAAACCGCUGGGUUUGCAUUUUGUUGCUGUGAUCAAAAGACCCACCAGGAACUCACUUAGCAGAGCAAAAGUUCAUUUGACCUCACCUUUCAGGGGUUUGGCCCUUAGUUGUCUGACCCCAUUGCUCCAUGGGCCCAAGGAGAGGCAGAGCUUUGAGGCGGAAGUGCGUGUGGAGGAGUUCCGCCCCAUGCGUGGUGGGCAGGAAGGGUCUGCAGGGAAGGUGCCCGUCUAGGCCACAGCCCCAGUGACCCGCCUCCUCCUGCCAUGUCCCACCUGCCUCGUCAUCCCCCGAUCAGUCCAUUCAGACGAGGACAUCGGAUCAUUCUACCUUGGUCUUCUGCCUCCUGUGCCAGGGCAAUUUAGAGUGGUUUAAGAUGAUCCAGAUUCUACAGGGUGCCCUCUAUGGCACCCCUAGGGAUUAGGGAUGCCCAAACCCUGAGGUGGCAUAUGGAUUCCAGAAGGGCUGGUCCCUCAGGGAAGGGAACCAAAUCCAACCCAAAUGCAUGCAGCCUCCUCACUGUCUGACCCUGUGUCCCCCUUUGGGGGUGAAGGGGCUCUCCUACUCUGAGAGGGUUGUGCCUUAUGCAGACCAGAGCGGGGAAAUGGCCACGGAACACCACUGACUGAUCGUAGGCUGACCAGCCAGCCACUGCCCAGGAAUCAGAGGUCAGCCUGUGGCCAAGGUCAGCAGCCAGCCUUGAGUCUGAGGUUUGUGGUCAGACCAGGAAUCAGCUGGAAUCAAGAGUCAAAUCUGUAGCCAGAUCGAGAGUCCGCACAUGGUUCAGUUCAGGGAUCAGCCUGAGAAACAGCAGUCACUGCUCAGACGGGGACUUCAUGCAUCACCGGGGUCAUAGGUCAGGCGGGCCAAGGUCAGGGCUACUCCUGGCCAAGGGGAAGGGUAUGUGUCUGUGGAAUGAAGCCUCCCAGCCCAGCUGCACCAGCCCAAAGUCUGACGGCCACACCAGGCGGGAAAUAGAAGGGAAAAAGCAGUCACAGAUCCCAAGUCUGGACCUGGAGUGUCCCCUGAAGGCCGCGUGUCCCAGCCGGUGCUUCGAUCUGCCAUGGGCCUCCGUCAUGAAUGUGCUGGGCUGCCCCGGGGCCCAAAGCCACAGGCCCAAGUGACCAGGAACUAAAAGCUCUGAAACCAUGAGCCAAAGAAACUUUCCCCCCUCUAAGUCGAUGUCCUCAGGUAUGUUGUCACAGUGACGGAGAGCUGACACGGACACGCUGAGCCGCUUCAAGAUCCAGUCAGACCAACUCCAUUGGGCUUCAAGGCCUGGGGAUCCACCGUCAUUUGCAGCUCUGAGCUCCAUAUACACAGUGACAAUGACGAUGACGAAAACAGCUUUGCAUUGGACCUCACACUAUAUAAAAAAGACGAACCGGAGCAAAUUAUAUGGACCUAAACAAGCUUGAUUGUAAGGGAACAAGCCCCCCCCGGAGUCCAUGAUCAUCUGAUGUGUGAAAAUCCAGAGAAGACAAAGCUGUGGGGACAGAAAGCAGAUCAGUGGCUGCUAAUGUCCAGGGAGCAGGAGGAGGACACGGUCAUCUCCAAAGUGUUGGAAGCGCAUGUCUUUUGAGGGUGAUGGAAGGGUUCUAUGUCCCUACUGUAGACUGGCUCGCAACUGGAAUCGUUUUCAAAAUAUCUCCAAGUGUGCGCUCAGAAGGGAGGCCUUGGUGUAUGCAGACUGUGUGCUGGUAAAGGUGAUUUUGGAA